GAGAGAAUUAAAUUAUUGGCAGCAAAAAAAGAUUUAGACAAAAAGAUCUUGGAUUUAGUGGAGGAAUCUGAGGCCGAAUCAAAUGAUAAUGAUUCAGCGCUAUCGGUACCAGUGGUACCAGUCCUACCGGCACCAGCAGUACCAGUCCUACCGGCACUAGCAUAUCCAGCUUUACCACUAGAGAAAGAGUUAUCGUGGAUUGAAUUUGAGGCAUGGCGCCGUGUUCACCCAGGCCCAAAAUCCAGUUUUCCAAAAUCAUUUUUGGGCUGGAAAUGGUGGCCGCGACCUGCCAUCGUUUGGGUGGAAUCUAUCCCGCAGAAGAAGAUUCCAAAGUGUUGGAGGUCGUGGCAUCGUUAUUAAUAAUUAUACCUAUUAG
rnacentral:misc_RNA from 1 species